rnacentral:rRNA from 2 species
UACGGAGGGUGCGAGCGUUGUCCGGAUUUAUUGGGUUUAAAGGGUGCGUAGGCGGCUGCUUAAGUCAGUGGUAAAAGGCACGGGCUCAACCCGAUGUAAGCCAUUGAUACUGGGCAGCUUGAGUUCUCUGAGAGUACAUGGAAUUGAUGGUGUAGCGGUGAAAUGCAUAGAUACCAUCAGGAACACCGAUAGCGAAGGCAUUGUACUUUGGAGCGACUGACGCUGAUGCACGAAAGCGUGGGUAGCGAACAGG